ACUAGGGAUUUGAAAAUCCAUGGAGAUGGAAACCUAUGCCGAGGUUAGAAGACCUGGAUCCACUUUGCAGGAUUUUAAAUAUCCUUCAAGCCUCAGUGCCUGGCAGACUGGACUUUGGACUUCGGACUUCCAGCUCCGAUGCUGAAAAAGGAGGGUUUUUUUGUUUGUUUGUUUUUCCACUUUGCUUCCUUGCUUGUCGAGGCUGAGAACAUACGGUGUUUUUGAGGGCCACCAUCAAAGGGUACUCGCUUCUCCAAACCUUGGAACCCGAGGUCUAGCCUUGGAAAGAGUUGCCGCCUUACCAUCUCUCCUCGCCUAGGGAAGCCCCAGCUGUGUGCGCUACUGCAGGGUCACAGUGCCGCGGUGCCGAGCUUCUUUCGUGGUCCCUGUCGCCGUCCGUUUCUUGAGAUUUCAGACUCUGGGCUUGGAAACCAGUUGACUGCCUUUCUUAGCGAGGUGCCCUCGGAAACCUGUGGAGGAAUGUUUGGAUUAUGAAUGCUCACCGUGCCGAGGUUUUGAGACUACUGUAAGACAGAUGAGAAAACCUGAGGUUUGUAUUGCUUUCCCUCCUCCUUGCUUUGACCAAACUCUGCUGAACAAGGAUUCUCUACCAAA